rnacentral:rRNA from 1 species
AUCAUUUAAAGAGUGCGUAAUAGCUCACUAGUCGAGUGACACUGCGCCGAAAAUGUACCGGGGCUAAACAUAUUACCGAAGCUGUGGAUUGUCCUUUGGACAAUGGUAGGAGAGCGUUCUAAGGGCGUUGAAGCAUGAUCGUAAGGACAUGUGGAGCGCUUAGAAGUGAGAAUGCCGGUGUGAGUAGCGAAAGACGGGUGAGAAUCCCGUCCACCGAUUGACUAAGGUUUCCAGAGGAAGGCUCGUCCGCUCUGGGUUAGUCGGGUCCUAAGCUGAGGCCGACAGGCGUAGGCGAUGGAUAACAGGUUGAUAUUCCUGUACCACCUAUAAUCGUUUUAAUCGAUGGGGGGACGCAGUAGGAUAGGCGAAGCGUGCGAUUGGAUUGCACGUCUAAGCAGUAAGGCUGAGUAUUAGGCAAAUCCGGUACUCGUUAAGGCUGAGCUGUGAUGGGGAGAAGACAUUG